UUAUGGCUCAGGAUGAACGCUGGCGGCGUGCUUAACACAUGCAAGUCGAACGCUGAAGCUCCCAGCUUGCUGGGGGUGGAUGAGUGGCGAACGGGUGAGUAUCACGUGAGUAACCUGCCCUUGACUCUGGGAUAAGCCCGGGAAACUGGGUCUAAUACUGGAUAGGACUGGCCAUCGCAUGGUGGUUGGUUGAAAGCUUUUGCGGUUUUUGGAUGGACUCGCGGCCUAUCAGCUUGUUGGUGGGGUAAUGGCCUACCAAGGCUUUGACGGGUAGCCGGCCUGAGAGGGUGACCGGCCACACUGGGACUGAGACACGGCCCAGACUCCUACGGGAGGCAGCAGUGGGGGAUAUUGCACAAUGGGCGCAAGCCUGAUGCAGCGACGCCGCGUGAGGGAUGACGGCCUUCGGGUUGUAAACCUCUUUCAGUUGGGAAGAAGCCUUUCGGGGUGACGGUACCUUCAGAAGAAGCACCGGCUAACUACGUGCCAGCCGCCGC
rnacentral:rRNA from 1 species